GACCAAGCUACUAAGUGCAUAUAGUGAAUGCCUUGGCUAAGACUGUCGAUGAAGGACGUGGUAAGCUGCGUUAAGUGUCGGUGAGGUGCAAACAACCUUUGAUCCGGCAAUUUCCGAAUGGGGUAACCCGUUACAGAGUAAUCUGAAACAUCCGAGAGGAAGGCAACCCAGGGAAGUGAAACAUCUCAGUACCUGGAGGAAAAGAAAUCAACCGAGUAUACCGAGAGUAGUGGCGAGCGAAAUUGGUGAAGCCUAAACCGUUAUGUUUACAUAGCGGGGUUGUAGGACCGCAUAAGUAGAGUUAUAAAUCAAAGAGUUAGUCGAACGGUUUGGAAAACCCGAUCAUAGAAGGUGAAAAUCCUGUAGAUGAAAGCUUUUUGACUCGAAGCGUUAUCCUAAGUACCAUCGGACACGUGAAAUCUGGUGGGAAUCUGGGGGGACCACCCUCCAAGGCUAAAUACAAGUCUUAGACCGAUAGUGAACUAGUACCGUGAGGGAAAGGCGAAAAGAACCGCGGGAGCGGAGUGAAAUAGAACCUGAAACUGUAUGCAUACAAGCAGCUCGAGGCUUAUGCCGAGAACGUAAGUGAUCGGAAUGGCUGAGAGCGUGCCUGUUGAAGAAUGAUCCGACGAGUUAUUGGUAGGUGCGAGGUUAAUUAUUAUGUUUACGCAUAUUAAGAAGCCGUAGCGAAAGCAAGUCUGAAAGGGCGAUUAGUACCUAUCAUUAGACCCGAAGCCAAGUGAUCUAUGCCUGGACAGAGUGAGUUCCCUUUAAUCAGGGAAGGAGGCUCGAAGCGUCGACCGUUGAAAAGGUCUUGCAUGAGCUGGGUAUAGGGGUGAAAGGCCAAUCUAACUUGGUGAUAGCUGGUUCUCCUCGAAAUAGUUUUUGGACUAGCCUAGAGUGUUAAACUAAAGAGGUAGAGCACUGGAUAGUUUAGCGGGUGUAACCCACUUUGCGAUACUAACCAAACUCCGAAUUCUUUGGUGUAUUUCUCUGGAGUCAGUACGUGUAGGAUAAGCUUCACGUGCAAAAGGGAAACAGCCCAGACCAUCAAUUAAGGUCCCAAAAUAUAUGCUAAGUGGUAAAGGAUGUGGAAUUUCUUAGACAGCUAGGAGGUUGGCUUAGAAGCAGCCAUCCUUUAAAGAGUGCGUAACAGCUCACUAGUCAAGUGAUUCUGCGCCGAAAACACCCGGGGCUCAAGCAUGUUACCGAAAUUAUGGAUUUUAUUUUUGUGCAGAAAGAAGGUAAGUAUUUGUUGUGCAUAAUUAUAGAGUGGUAGAGGAGCGUUCUUAUCGCACUGAAGACAUACCGUAAGGAGUGUUGGAGCGAUAGGAAGUGAGGAUGUCGGAAUAAGUAGCGAUAAGAGAGGUGAGAAUCCUCUCCGCCGAAAACCUAAGGUUUCCUUGAGUAAAGUUCGUCUGCUCAGGGUUAGUCGAUCCUAAGCUGAGGUCGAAAGACGUAGGCGAUGGGUAUCCGGUUAAUAUUCCGGAACUAUCUUUAGUGCGUAUAAUGUAUUUGGUUACGCUUUUCAGUAGGUCAUCAUCCGAUUGGAAGUGGAUGUUGCUCCGCAAGGGGGAGGACUUGAGUAAUCGAGGAACUGACUGUAUGGAGAGCCAAGAAAAGUCCAAAUACCUGUACUAAAGGUAAACGUACCGUAAACGGACACACGUAGGUGGGGUGAAAAUCCUAAGGCGCGCGAGAUAACUUUCGUUUAGGAACUCGGCAUAUUAGCCCCGUAACUUCGGAAUAAGGGGUGCCUAUGGUUAUACAUAGGUCGCAGUGAAAUGGCCCUCGUGACUGUUUAACAAAAACACAGGACUCUGCUGAAAUCACAAGAUGAUGUAUAGGGUCUGACGCCUGCCCGGUGCUGGAAGGUUACGUGGAGAGGUUAGCGCAAGCGAAGCUUUGAAACUAAGCCCCAGUAAACGGCGGCCGUAACUAUAACGGUCCUAAGGUAGCGAAAUUCCUUGUCGGGUAAGUUCCGACCUGCACGAAUGGCGUAACGACUUGGGCGCUGUCUCAACCAUAGACCCGGUGAAAUUGUAUUAUUCGUGAAGAUGCGAAUUACCCGCGGAAGGACGGAAAGACCCCGUGAACCUUUACUACAGCUUGACAUUGACUAUUGGUUCGAUGUGUAGAGGAUAGGUGGGAGGCUUUGAAGCUGCGACGCCAGUUGCGGUGGAGCCACCCUUGGAAUACCACCCUCAUCGUGUUGAUAGUCUAACGCUAGACCGUUAUCCGGCUAGCGGACCGUGUCUGGUGGGUAGUUUGACUGGGGCGGUCGCCUCCUAAAAUGUAACGGAGGCGCGCGUAAGGUCUGCUCAGAACGGUUGGCAAUCGUUCGUAGAGCGCAAGAGUAUAAGCAGGCUUGACUGCGAGACAGACAUGUCGAGCAGAGACGAAAGUCGGUUCUAGUGAUCCGGCGGCUCAGAGUGGAAUGGCCGUCGCUCAACGGAUAAAAGGUACUCCGGGGAUAACAGGCUGAUCUUCCCCAAGAGUCCACAUCGACGGGAAGGUUUGGCACCUCGAUGUCGGCUCAUCGCAUCCUGGGGCUGAAGUAGGUCCCAAGGGUAUGGCUGUUCGCCAUUUAAAGCGGUACGCGAGCUGGGUUCAGAACGUCGUGAGACAGUUCGGUCCCUAUCCUCCGUGGGCGUAAGAGAAUUGAGAGGAUCUGUCCCUAGUACGAGAGGACCGGGAUGGACAAACCUCUGGUGUACCAGUUGUCGACCAACGGCACCGCUGGUUAGCUACGUUUGGA
rnacentral:rRNA from 1 species